GACGAACGCUGGCGGCGUGCCUAAUACAUGCAAGUCGAGCGAAGCGGCGGAUAGGCGAGUUACGUGUGGGUAAUCUGCCCUUAAGUCUGGGAUACCAUUCGGAAACAGCUGCUAAUACCGGAUACUAAAGGAUGGACCUACGAUGCAUUAGCUAGUUGGUAAGGCAACGGCUUACCAAGGCGAUGAUGCAUAGCCGAGUUGAGAGACUGAUCGGCCACAUUGGGACUGAGACACGGCCCAAACUCCUACGGGAGGCAGCAGUAGGGAAUCUUCCACAAUGGACGAAAGUCUGAUGGAGCAACGCCGCGUGAGUGAAGAAGGUUUUCGGAUCGUAAAGCUCUGUUGUUGGUGAAGCGGUAAUCAACCAGAAAGUCACGGCUAACUACGUGCCAGCCGCCGCGGUAAUUC
rnacentral:rRNA from 1 species